UAAAAUUAACUGUAAUCAUAACUAAUCUUUGGUAUGUUUUUCCCCCCAGAAAACAGGAAAAUGCUGGCACAAGUUUUUUACCAAUAAUCUAUAAAAGCUGGAACCCAAAUUACAAUCCUUCAAACAAGGAAGAAGUUACAAAUUCAGUGAAGAAAAAUAAGCCUAGAAGACAGACCUGCUUGAACAGAUUCUUCAAAAGUAACUGGUGUGAUAGAUUUUCUUCUAAUAGUAGUUUCUCUGAUGUAGCUCC
rnacentral:lncRNA from 1 species